rnacentral:piRNA from 1 species
UGGUGUUGCCUUUGGCCUAAUGUUUGU